UCUUUUAUUUCUCUCUAUUUUGUAAAUAAUGUUUCUUCCAAGGAAACAUUUUAAACAUUUCUCAAAAUGAAUAUACACAAGCAAAAGACAUGAGCGUGAUUCAACUUGAGAAAAUAAAAAAGUGUCAAACCUUCGGUGUAUCAUUCCGCAUAUUCAAUUGAAAAAAAUUGAAAAAAUGAUAUUUGCUUCCUCUACAAUAUAACGAUAGGUUAGUCGUACAACGGCACGUAUAAUUUUACAACAGAAGUGCGGCUCGUGGCGCGAAAUAACAACCGAGAGACGUAUUAUUGAAAGGGUCCAGUUAUCUGUAAGGGGUAACAGAGGGAGUCCGCGGCUAGAAAUGAUCGUGUACGAAUGCAAAAGCAAAGGGCAGCAGAGGCGAAUCAGCGGGGCGUGACCGAGGGAGCACGGUAGCGCAAUUGCGAGCCACGUGCCAGUCGCGUGGCACCAACCGACGAUUGGGCCGCGAUGCGAUGGCACGUCGGGACGACGACGGCCCGACGGGACGCCGGGACGCCGCUCACUAUCUCGUAAUGUCCUAUUCCGGUGUGUCAUGUGCGAGAGGAUCGUUGGGCCCAGCGGAGCACGACGGCACGCGACCACGGAAACUUCUUCUUUCUCUCUUUCCCUUUCUCUUCUUCGUUCGAGCUCGAGCGUUGUUUGUUUGAUUCGAACAGCUUGAACGUAAGACAGUAAUCACCGCUUGUAUAAAGGAUUUAUCGCUGGUAACGGGAAGAUAAUGACUGUAUGAUUAUCUUAAGUAUCAUCCACUGUUUCGUUCCGUCUUCCGUAUUUUCAUCACUAUCAAGCUAUCGUUACAAGAUACGCAAUUUACAUUCUUCACACUCUGUAACAUUUUAUAAAUGCAAACG